UUAAUAUUUGUUUUUACUGAAGAUACUGCUACUACAAAGGUUUUUGUUGGUCCUCGUGGCAGGCAAGCCCACCGAGGAAACGAACGGUACUCAUAAACAAAGGGUGCCAUUUGGCGCGUUUUAAGGCCGCCGCCAUGCAAGCAUUUCUGCAAGCACCAUUAAUGAUCCUUCCGCAGGUUCACCUACGGAAA
rnacentral:misc_RNA from 1 species